GAAAUGCGAUAAGUAAUGUGAAUUGCAGAAUUCAGUGAAUCAUCGAAUCUUUGAACGCACCUUGCGCUCCUUGGUAUUCCUUGGAGCAUGCCUGUUUGAGUAUCAUGAAAUCUUCAAAGUAAAUAUUUUGUUAACUCAAUUGGUUUCUACUUUGGUAUUGGAGGUCUUUGCAGCUUCACACCUGCUCCUCUUUGUUCAUUAGCUGGAUCUCAGUGUUAUGCUUGGUUCCACUCGGCGUGAUAAGUUAUCUAUCGCUGAGGACACUGUAAAAGGUGGCCAAGGUAAAUGCAGAUGAACCGCUUCUAAUAGUCCAUUGACUUGGACAAUACUUUUAUUAUCUGAUCUCAAAUCAGGUAGGACUACCCGCUGAACUUAAGC
rnacentral:misc_RNA from 1 species